rnacentral:rRNA from 1 species
UUCCAGACUCCUACGGGAGGCAGCAGUGGGGAAUAUUGGGCAAUGGAGGCAACUCUUACCCAGCAAUGCCGCGUGAAUGAAGAAGGUCUUCGGAUUGUAAAGUUCUUUAAUUGGGGACGAAAAAAAUGACGGUACCCAAGGAAUAAGCCCCGGCUAACUACGUGCCAGCCGCCGCGGUAAUACGUAGGGAGCAAGCGUUGUCCGGAUUUACUGGGUGUAAAGGGUGCGUAGGCGGCUUUGCAAGUCAGAAGUGAAAUCCAUGGGCUUAACCCAUGAACUGCUUUUGAAACUGCAGAGCUUGAGUGGAGUAGAGGUAGGCGGAAUUCCCGGUGUAGCGGUGAAAUGCGUAGAGAUCGGGAGGAACACCAGUGGCGAAGGCGGCCUGCUGGGCUCUAACUGACGCUGAGGCACGAAAGCGUGGGUAGCAAACAGGAUUAGAUACCCGAGUACA